GUUUGAUCAUGGCUCAGAACGAACGCUGGCGGCAUGCCUAACACAUGCAAGUCGAACGCCUGUAGCAAUACAGGAGUGGCGCACGGGUGAGUAACGCGUGGGAACCUGCCCUGGAGUGGGGGAUAACCGAGAGAAAUUUCGGCUAAUACCGCAUACGACCUGAGGGUGAAAGAUUUAUCGCUCUUGGAGGGGCCCGCGUCGGAUUAGCUAGUUGGUGGGGUAAUGGCCUACCAAGGCAACGAUCCGUAGCUGGUCUGAGAGGAUGAUCAGCCACACUGGGACUGAGACACGGCCCAGACUCCUACGGGAGGCAGCAGUGGGGAAUAUUGGACAAUGGGGGCAACCCUGAUCCAGCAAUGCCGCGUGAGUGAUGAAGGCCUUAGGGUUGUAAAGCUCUUUCGGCGGGGACGAUGAUGACGGUACCCGCAGAAGAAGCCCCGGCUAACUUCGUGCCAGCAGCCGCGGUAAUAACCUAAAUAGCGCUGUU
rnacentral:rRNA from 1 species